rnacentral:rRNA from 1 species
CAGCAGCAGCCGCGGGAAUACAGAGGGUGCGAGCGUUAAUCGGAUUUACUGGGCGUAAAGCGUGCGUAUGCGGCUUCUUAAGUCGGAUGUGAAAUCCCUGAGCUUAACUUAGGAAUUGCAUUCGAUACUGGGAAGCUAGAGUAUGGGAGAGGAUGGUAGAAUUCCAGGUGUAGCGGUGAAAUGCGUAGAGAUCUGGAGGAAUACCGAUGGCGAAGGCAGCCAUCUGGCCUAAUACUGACGCUGAGGUACGAAAGCAUGGGGAGCAAACAGGAUUAGAUACCCCCGUAGUCCCUGUCUCUUAUAA